UUCUGGUGAGAGUUUGAUGGCAGGGAAAAUUAUUAUUAUUGUUGUUGUUCAAGGUAACUGCGAUGCACAUGAUGCAAGAAUUAUAUUUGUGCAGAGGUAGCUACAACUAUUCAAAUCAGUUUGAUGCCCUCUGUUACUAUCUUAUUUUUUGUUGAACUAACCAAUACCAGAACACAACUCUAUCCUACAUGAACUCAUGUGUUCUUAUGCAGCCAUUUUCUGUUGUAGGAGGAGCAAUACUCAGAGUGCGAGAGUUAAGAGAGAAUCUGUUGAAACUAAGGUCACAACAGAUCAGGUACUUCAUUUUUGUUUCAACCCAUACUGCUCUCUAAUGUCCAAUCUGCAAACUGCAGGGCCUCCAAACUAAAAAUAAAAUUGAAUUUUCUUGGCAGAUUCAGUUGUCUAGAAACUAAUUUGUGGUGUAGUUUGAAAAAAGGCAAAAGACUCGGAUAUAGUCAUAGAACUACAACAUAAAGUUUGAGGAGUGUCCCCAAUCCCAUCAUCUUUCUCUCAGUUUUUACUACAUGAUUCUCUGUGAUGAUUUUAUUCUAAUUUCUCAAUUAUGUUUUUUCUAAACACAACGCCUGCAGAUCUGAUAAAGAAGAGGAAGAAUUUUGAGGAAGAACUUUGUGAAAAUACAGUCACUUUCUUGCAUUUUGACGUGUUUUGCCAAUUUCUAUAUAUUGCUUAUAUGGUUGCACCCAAGGCUUGGUUCGUGGUUGCUGAUGCAUUUUCUGUAGGAAAGCGAUGUUUUUGUUCAUAGUAUGAACAGAAGUUGAACAGUCGAAAACCUAUGUGAAAGCAGCGGCGAAAAGUAUGCUUGAGGAAGAGGUAUGGAACCAGCGUGCCCUUUGGUCAAAGAAUUUUUGUAAGAUUCCAAUCCAUACGGAAUUCUCGAAACCAUUUAGUUCAAUGGGAUGAAUUCCCCAAAAUUGUGUGGAUUGUUUUCCUACACUCUGUGCUUCUUUGGUUCAAAGGAAUUCUAAAGCAAUUUGUAGGAUUCCAACCUAUAGACGUUUUUUCUAGAGUACUUUUGAUUCAGAGGAGUAACCACUCCUAAAUUCCUCUUGACUGUUCGCCAACACCACGAUUCAAUAGAAUUUCUAGCAUGUUUUGGUGUCAUAACUCGCUAGAAAGUUUAUGUGUUUUUCCUGGUUCAUGUACGAUUCCAAAUGUCAGGAUAUAUAUUGCUCUAUUUUUCAUGUUCCUAUGUCUUCUUCAGAUCCUGCGAAGUGAAGAAGGUUCUGCAACUCCAUUAGAUUGAUUGAAUAAUUCCCUUAUAUCUUGAGAAGCAUGACAUGCACUUAACAUCUAUAUAAAGUUUCUUAUGGCCACAUGAUGCCUGGAUACUUACCUAAAAUGCAUCAUUAGUCCAUCAACCCAUUUAUUGAUCCAGUAUGAUUGCUUAGAUCCAGCCGGGUCUACCUUACUGCUAGCUUAAUACUAUCUAGAGCAUAUUCUUUUUCCCUUUGUUUAGUUGAAUAGCAUAAUACUAUGGUUAUUAAGAAACUUGAACAUGCGACAUUGUAGAUCUCUAUCUUCCAUGUUCCCACCCUGAUGUUCUUUAGAUAUUCUUCCAUUUACAGCAAUCUAAUUCUUGGGUGAUAAUUUUGACAAUCAUUAAACCUUUCAGGUCUGCCUAUCUGUUGAUGGUGAUAGAAAAGGUAAUGAUGCAGCAAAAAUGCAUUACGAUUCUAAAGCUGUCAGGGCUCAGGAGAUGAGUGUCUGAUGGUACUAUUGAUGUAUGUCAGGCAGUUGUAUCAGUAUGGAUCUUCCAACAAAUUCACUAAGUGCCCUUUGCAUUUAAUUUCUGUAUACCGUUUUGCAGCAACAUUCAGAUUUGGCAGUUGGAUAAAGAAGCUUUGUUCACGACAUAAAUGCUGACAAGAAAACUACAGAACGAGUAAAGAUUUGCGACUUGGAAGCAAUGGGCUCAAAUGGUUUGUCUUAAGAGAACAAUACUAUCUUUUUCUUAUUUAUUGUACGUCAGAGUAUGUUACCUAUAUACAUAUAUUUAGGUCAUCUAUAUCUCUUAAGAGAACAAUAGUAUCUUUGUCUUAUAUAUUGUGUUGACAAGUGUAAUUAUUACCAAAGUUUUAAAUAGCGCGCUAAGCAUCUUAGCGUCGGACCUCUUUCAAAUGCUAUAGCGUGCUAUAGCGGAGCUAUAGCGCGCUAUUUAAAAUGUUUGUUCAUUUGUUUGGACCAAAGUCUCUUAGCGCAAGACCUUUUGUAAACGCUAUAGCGUGCUAUAGCGGAGCUAUAGCGGGCUAUUUGAAACAGUGAUUAUUACCAUUGGUAGUGAAGGACUCUUGCAGCAGCAGAAUAUUAGCACAAAGAAAAAUCUAUAUGGUUUUAUGGGUUUGUUUUCAUCG
rnacentral:lncRNA from 1 species